CGUGUAGGCGGGCUUUUAAGUCAGGGGUGAAAUGCCGAGGCUCAACCUCGGAACUGCCUUUGAUACUGGAAGUCUUGAGUCCGGGAGAGGUGAGUGGAACUGCGAGUGUAGAGGUGAAAUUCGUAGAUAUUCGCAAGAACACCAGUGGCGAAGGCGGCUCACUGGCCCGGAACUGACGCUGAGACGCGAAAGCGUGGGGAGCAAACAGGAUUAGAUACCCAGGUAGUCCACGCUGUAAACGAUGGAUGCUAGCCGUUGGGGAGCUUGCUCUUCAGUGGCGCAGCUAACGCUUUAAGCAUCCCGCCUGGGGAGUACGGUCGCAAGAUUAAA
rnacentral:rRNA from 1 species